UACGUAGGGGGCUAGCGUUAUCCGGAAUUACUGGGCGUAAAGGGUGCGUAGGUGGUUUCUUAAGUCAGAGGUGAAAGGCUACGGCUCAACCGUAGUAAGCCUUUGAAACUGAGAAACUUGAGUGCAGGAGAGGAGAGUAGAAUUCCUAGUGUAGCGGUGAAAUGCGUAGAUAUUAGGAGGAGUACCAGUUGCGAAGGCGGCUCUCUGGACUGUAACUGACACUGAGGCACGAAAGCGUGGGGAGCAAACAGGAUUAGAUACCCUGGUAGUCCCUGA
rnacentral:rRNA from 1 species